GACAGAGGGCGCAAGCGUUGUUCGGAAUUAUUGGGCGUAAAGAGCUCGUAGGCGGUGUGUCGCGUCGGCCGUGAAAACCUGCAGCUUAACUGUGGGCGUGCGGUCGAUACGGGCAUCACUGGAGUUCGGCAGGGGAGACUGGAAUUCCUGGUGUAGCGGUGAAAUGCGCAGAUAUCAGGAGGAACACCGGUGGCGAAGGCGGGUCUCUGGACAGUUCCUGACACUGAGACACGAAGGCCAGGGGAGCAAACGGG
rnacentral:rRNA from 1 species